GACAGAGGUGCCGAGCGUUAGGCGGAAUCACUGGGCUUAAAGCGUGUGUAGGCGGACUUCUAAGUACCUUAUGAAAUCCCACGGCUCAACCGUGGAACUGCUCGGUAUACUGGUCGUCUUGAGGCACUCAGGGGCGAGCGGAACAGAUGGUGGAGCGGUGAAAUGCGUAGAUAUCAUCUGGAACGCCAAUGGUGAAGACAGCUCGCUGGGGGUGUACUGACACUGAGACACGAAAGCCAGGGGAGCAAACGGG
rnacentral:rRNA from 1 species